UUGUGACUCAGCUGAAACAGAAGACAAGAAAGUGGAUCUGGGCAAACCUCCACUCAACGAAUCCAGCAGAAGAGUCUAUGAGUCUUCCAACAGACCCCAAACUGGUCCUUUUUCACUUUGUAGAGAGGUGUGGAAACGGAGGACAUCUAGCCAAGGUAAAUCAUUUACCCAGGAUCCUCAGCUGGCAAGUGGUGGAGCCAGGAUUCAAACUCAAGCUUUGGCUUUAGAGGCCACGCCUGCGGUCCCUACAACCAGCGCAAUGGACAACGCAGAUAAGUGCCGUGGGGGAACACGCAGGUGAGGAACUUGGGGGUGGGACUCGGGUCCAGGGUGGGCUGUGGAAACAGCUGGAUAUGGGUUGUAAAGUUGCUCUGCUGCUCAUUCACUGUGGGGAACCCUGAGGCUCCACUGUUUUCUAAAGCAA
rnacentral:lncRNA from 1 species